GAUGAACGCUGGCGGCGUGCCUAAUACAUGCAAGUCGAGCGAACAGACGAGGAGCUUGCUCCUCUGACGUUAGCGGCGGACGGGUGAGUAACACGUGGAUAACCUACCUGUAAGACUGGGAUAACUUCGGGAAACCGGAGCUAAUACCGGAUAAUAUAUUGAACCGCAUGGUUCAAUAGUGAAGGACGGUUUUGCUGUCACUUAUAGAUGGAUCCGCGCCGCAUUAGCUAGUUGGUAAGGUAACGGCUUACCAAGGCAACGAUGCGUAGCCGACCUGAGAGGGUGAUCGGCCACACUGGAACUGAGACACGGUCCAGACUCCUACGGGAGGCAGCAGUAGGGAAUCUUCCGCAAUGGGCGAAAGCUUGACGGAGCAACGCCGCGUGAGUGAUGAAGGUCUUCGGAUCGUAAAACUCUGUUAUUAGGGAAGAACAAAUGUGUAAGUAACUAUGCACGUCUUGACGGUACCUAAUCAGAAAGCCACGGCUAACUACGUG
rnacentral:rRNA from 1 species